rnacentral:lncRNA from 1 species
CCUUGCUAAAAAGAACAGCAGUACUCAGCCUGGUGCUUAAUUCCAGUGUCUAUGUGCACACUACCCCACAUUUUGUCAGGUUAGCCUACCUCCCAAAACACAGAAAAAAGACCCCAGCCAGAGUUGAAUGCAGUCAUCUAUCGCAUUGGUUUAGUACCAUCUUACCUAUCUAUAAAAGUGUCAAUUAACUCUUAAGUCCAUAGUAAGACUCAAUAAUGACCUUAUGCACCUUUCUGUUGCACCAAGAUAGCGCAGUGUUCCUUUUUCUAUCAUGCUCUUAAGACCUAUAACUCUCUGAGCCUUAACACCAGAAAUUCUACAUCACUCAGCAAGUUCGAGAGGAAGGUAAAAAGGGAGUUGUAAAGUUUAUGUACAGUAUUAAGUGUAUUUUAUCAUAUUGUUCAUCCUGGUUGUUAGCCUAAGUAUCAUACUUGUUAUAUUCAUUAAUAAACAUUUUAAUAUGUAAUUUUUAAGCACUUUAUGGAAUUGCAGACUAUUCUUGAUAUUAUGUAUAAAUUGAUUCUGCAGAGCAUAGUUGGGAGGAAAUAAUAAAAUAUGUGGAUUCCAAAUUAACUAUCCAUCACCACCAUUUCACAAAACAGAAAAAUGUGAGCAAGAUUACAUGCACUGCAAAUUACUACACUGUUAUUAUCGUAUAUUAUUAAUUUUUUUUUUACCUUUUUGGUUGUAGUCACCACAGAGUAUAUCUCAUUUCACCCUGUGUGGACAAGUGGACGAGCAGCAGGACAGCCGUUUGUUAUACAAGGAACUAUCUUUUAUCCAGAAGAGACAAUCAUGUACCGACCAGGAUUCUGGCAACUGAUCAAGAUGGCAUGGAUCCAAUACCUGGCAAUUCUCUUCAUUUUCCUCUUUCUGUUUGACAGAGUCAAAAGAUUUGUGUUUGAAAAUCAAGUGGUGACAACUGUUCCUAUGAUGAUAGAAAAAGAGCAUCAGGAAUAAUGAGCUAAUAAUGAACAGAUGCCAAUGUACAAAGUUAGUUUGGGAAGGCAUCUUGUGAUCAGAUGGAAUUUUAAUUUAUGAUGUUGAUGAAACAAAAAAGCGGAGAAAUCUAUUGUAGCAAAGCCAAAAAACUGGAGCAAAUCUUGCCAUCAGCCUGAAAAAGAUGACAGCAAAUUUAAACAAAGCCUUGCCAUGUGUCACCAUUCUUUACGUAAAUGACUGACACAGACGAGUACCAUGUAAGUUGUUUGUCACCCGCUAAUGUGGGCUGGCUCACCUUUGCAAGAUUCAGUAUGUCCUCGAGGGGCCAGGGAAGAGUGUUAUUUGCUUCUGUAUUGUUCAACAUUUUCAUAGUGACAGUGAAAAUUUACAACCAGCCACAACCAAUCAGAUGCCUCAUGGAUUGCUAAUAGUGUUCUGAUGUCAUUAUGGAAUUUUUGGAUCAGAUGUUUGACAGGAUCCUUGUGGAGAAUGGCAAUUAUCACAUGACAAUGGAUGUCUGUUUUCUAUGGCCAUGGAGUAUUCCAAAUGUUGUCACUGUGCCAUGUUGCUAGGCAACCUCUGAUAAAUGUUAUUUUCUGAUUGUGCAUGUUCAGAUGCUGUGUGCAGCAUAUACCGGUAGUUUUUGUUUUGAAGGACGCAAAAGUUUAAAGUCAAUUUCUUUCUAUUUAUUGCUACGCUUUUUUAUAGGUGCUAAAAUAUCUCAUCUAAUUGCCUAAGCAACGUCAGGCAGUGAAGGGUGCAAUUUUGACUAAGAGGGGAUUCUUAACAAGACCCAGGGGUUUCAUUAGUGCUUUCAGAGGAAAAGCAUCAGGUUUUCACAGGCUGGCAAAACUUUUUGAACUGAAAUUCUUUGUAGAAAAACUUUCCUCUAGAUGGUAAAACCAGGCAGGCCAAAUCGCCCUCACAGACAGUCCAUUUGCCCAGGGUCCAGCCCUUAUUGAACCCCCGGCAACAUCUCAUUUGCAAUAUUUGAGCAUCCAGUGACUGGGGUGUUCCAGUUUUAUUUCAUGAUAUUUGAAUGUUAAGAUCUUUUUAACUUAGAGUUGGCAUACGUGCAUCUUAUGUUUUUAAUUAAUGUAUGAUUUUAUACAGCAUACACAGGGCAAUUGAUCAACUCACCACACCCCUGCAUGUUGUUUGGAAAGAAAAUCAAAUUUUUGUUGACAAUUUUAAACCGUGAUCCCUUGAAUAGGGACACACAAAAUUGACAGGGAAACCAGUGGAUCAAAUUGUAUUGUGGGAUGCCUGUCUUAACCUCCUCUACAGGGAAUAUAAACUAACGUAAUGAAGAAAAAAAUCGGGAGAAUUCUCUUAGUUUUCGGGACAACCUCCAUUGCUAUAUUGCUACAUUGUUACUGCUCAAAUAGCGUCUAUUGAAGUUGUCACUCCUUGUCUUGUCGCACCUUCAAGUAUUAGAUCAUUGUAUGUCUUACGAAAUAUCAUUUACACACGCGUACAUAGAGAACUAAAUGAUACAUUGCUUCUUAAAAUACGUAAAUACGUACAGAAUCUUUCGAGUAUUGCAGUGCAAAUCUGGUUUAACCGCAGUCAACUGUGAACAUGCCCUGAGCUUUGAAAACAAUUUUUCGGGUUUUGUUUAGUUUUGUUUUUUGCUAACUUCCGCGCUUUCCCCCAAAAAAGAAUGCCUUCAGAGAGUUGUGUGGGUCUAAUCUUGACAUUCGACUGGCAUUAAUUGAAAAUUCUCAUUCAUUGCGAUAAAUGUUGAGGUCGAGGCCAUAGGCGAAAUUUCGGAACGUCGGGUCCCUCUGUAAACGUUAAGAAAACUGUUGAAUUUUUGUUUUGAAAUGCUCGCCUGUUCUUGCACUUGACUGGGUUUAUUUAUUCAUGUGUGCAUGGGAUAACACUGUGUAAGCCUUUGAGGCUUUUAAGCUUCCGGUUUUUUAUUAACUUAUUCGGUCGUUCCAGUGGUAACUGUUUCCUCAAUAAUGUUUAAUUUGUAAGAAAAAAACUAAAUUAUUCAGUUACUUUCUUCUUAGACGUACAUACUGCUUGUAAAUAAAGAGAAUAUACUUUUUAAA